rnacentral:rRNA from 1 species
AUAGACAUUUCGGUAGCUUACUCAUCAGAACUUUACAGUUAAGCGUGCUUGACCUGGAGUAAUACUGGGAUGGGUGACCUUCUGGGACCUUCUGGGAAGUCUCCC